UUGUGCGCGACGGACAAAAAUGUUAAUUCAACGUUUUAGCAAUCGUUUAAUAAAAUAAUACAAAUACGCGCAGCGAUUGCCGAAGACACAAGGCAAAUUUGAAUAAGAUUCUGUUGUAUCGAAAAUUCGCGUAAAGCUGUUUACAAACAUUAAAAACAGCUGCAAUUAAAAGUUUAAGUAAUUAAAACGCAUUGUUUGUAAACAGUUUGAAAGGUGCCGUUUAAAAAGGCAAGAAAUUUUUGAUCAAAAAAUUUUAUAAGUUCCUGUCGUCGACUGACGCUGUACGUGUGUGUGUGUGCCCUAAAAGUGCGAGUGUGUGUGGUCCAGUUUUGUGUAUAACAAAAUGAAUUGUGUUGGGUGUCCUUUGAAGGUGCUUUAAGGUUGAAUUCUCGUAUUGAAACAAAGCUGAACAGCAUCAAAGGACUGACAGGAUAACACGUAUUAGUCAUCAAGUGUACAAUUACAUAUAUACACAGCAGCAGCGCAGUCAACGCAUCCUGUUUGCUUGUAUUGGUGUGACGCCGGUUUUUGCACACUGCUAGCAAAAAGAGCAGCUACAUUAACAACAACAGUAGCAGCAGAAAUAACAACAACAACAACUUGUUCUUCAUGCAUCGCUUUACCUCUGCGUGGUAGUAACAACAACGACAACAAAUUGGAACAACAACUAUCAACGCAAAGGAAAUUGAGAAUGGAACGUAAAUUCACGCGUGGCUUGAAUAAGCCGGGAAUGGCUGCACAGCUGAGAGAGAGCGUCUCUCAGGUGGUGCGUGAGAGCGCCGUUUUGAACAAACCCCUCAUUGUAGAGCCCAUCGAUUUUGAAGCCUUUAUAGCCAAAAAUAAAACGCUCAUACAGAAUGAUCCGCAGCGGGAGCUGCUUAUCUAUCCAGCAGAUGAUGUCUCGGAGAUCAUUAUGCCACGUAAGCAACGCAGCAAUGACAAAUCCGUGGCAGAUCGAUUUGAGCCACCAAAUGAGGCGAUUGUUUGUCCACUUCACGGCUCCAUGGCGUUGGGCAGCAAUGGACACAGUCAGGUGAGCCGACAGGGCAGCCUGCAGUCGAAUGGCAGCUACCAGAAUGGACACAGCAGCAAUACGAGUCUGUCCAAUGGAAAUGGUCAGUUGUCCCGAAAGAGUUCACAGUGUUCCAAUGGCUCGACAAGUCGAAAGUUGUCACAUGAAUCCUACGAAUCAGCAUUGUCAUCCACAACACUGCGAUCCCAUCUAGCACAGCCUGAGGAGGUAGACGAGUAUGGGGAUGAGGAGCAUCCAACUAGCGAGGAUGUAAUCGAUGGAACGACGACAGGAACACGUGCCGAGUGCACACGUUUCACACGACAAGCGUUGUACACAUAUCGUGCCAAGAAUCAUCUCAUUCACUACAAGUACAGCGCUUAUGGAGGAAACUGUCAUGAUCUACCUAGCACAUCGCCUGGCGAGGAAUUGCUUGAGGAAGUCUAUGAAAUUGAUGCUGAUCAGGAUCGCAUAGAUGAGCAAAUGACACGUUCCCAGGCGGACACCAUCACCAAGCAAGGAUAUCUGCUGAAGGGACCUGAUUCAGCCUCGGAUCGCAUGUUUGCCAAUAUUGGCAACAAGUCCUUUAAGCGUCGCUAUUGCUAUCUGCGCCAGGAGAUCGAUGGCACCUACAUGCUUGAGCUGCACAAGGAUGAAAAACAGGGCGAAGCAAAGGCCACCAUUGUCAUGGACUUUUGCACGGAGGUGGUGCAGAAUCCAAAACGUGGUCGCUUCUGUUUUGAGCUGCGCAUGACCGCAGGACACAAAUCAUUUACAUUGGCAGCUGAAAAUGAGCAGGACUUUAAGGAUUGGCUGAGCAAGCUCUCCUCGGUGCUGGCCCAGAACAAGGCGCAGGAGGAGAAGCGCAAUGCAUCGUUAGAGCGACAACCUCAGGCCACUCUCCAACUACAGCCACCGGCGAUGGAGCCAAUAACAUUUGGUACACUCAAAGGCCUGGAUCAAUCGCUGCAUCCACAGCUUAUGAAGUAUGGUCGUGAGACGGAUCACUCCAUUGCCCAGGCACGACGAGAGCAGCGUCGUCGACUCUUUGCCUGCUAUCAGAGUCCGGGCAAAGCCAUUGCUGGUGAUAAUUUGGAGCAGUAUCGUGAGCACUUUGGCACAAGGAUUUUCCUUUGUUGCCGCAGUCUACGCUUUCGAUUACAAUGUCAACCCACGGAUAUGGCAGAGGGAGCUGGAGGGGAACAGCUGUGCCAGGUGGAACCCUACAUCACCAGCCUGGCGCUGUACGAUGCGAAGGCAGGUCGCAAGCUCAGCGAGAGUUUCUACUUUAACAUCAACGAGGCUUCAGCGGCUCAACUGUUGCCCAACACACCUGUGCCCGCCUCUGUGGCAGGUUGCGGCGUUCCCAGACGCUCGGAGAGUGAUGAAAAGAAUGCAGCACAGGCGCCACAUUCUCUCUUCGAUGGCGUCUCCUCGGAAUUGCUUCGGUGUCCUCGCCAGCAGUUCCAACAGCUGAGGCAGUGCCUCCUCUCGGUGACUGCUCCACAUGCGGAUAUUUAUAUCGUGCUGCGCAUUGAGAAGGUGCUGCAGUGCGGCAUUCCCCAGGCAGCAGAGCCUUAUGUGAAGGCUGCUCGGGAUGCCAAGCUGGGACAGAAGGUGCACAAGGCAGCCAAGAGUUGUGCCCAACACAUUGGACACUAUCGCCAGCCAUUCGCCUGGGCAGCUCGUCCCCUAUUCAAGGCCUACAGUCACGAGUUGGAUGUGGAUCCUCAGCGAGAGUUCGAGUUCAACACGAUCUAUCGCCAGGAGUUGCCCAAACUAAAGGAUGAAGAGAUGCUCAAGCUGUUGCUCGACUAUCGCAAGCCGGAGAAACUCAGCAAGCUGACCAUAAUCCCGGGUUGCAUGCGUCUCCAGUUGCAGCUGUUGGAUCAGACGACGCCCUGUGGUCUCAGCAAAUCUUUAGCUCCCUUGUCUAGUUUCAGUGCCUCCGCCAAGCAACCGCUCACCUUGGAACUCACCGAGUUUCAGGGUCAACACGAGCGGGAUGCGUUUCCUUAUACCAAUUUCUGCAAUCAUCUUUAUGUUUAUCCAUUGAGUUUGCAAUUUGAUAGUCAAAAGAUCUUUUCGCGAGCUCGCAACAUUACAGUCGUGGUGGAGCUGAGGGAUGGAGAUGGGGAGUACAGCAAACCAUUGAAGUGCAUCUAUGGCCGACCUGGACAGGAUUUGUUGGUCUCUCAGAUAGCCUGUCCCGUUCUCCAUCACAAUGUGACGCCCACUUGGUAUGAGGAGAUCAAACUGCGCCUUCCACUUGGUCUCUUUCCCGAACAUCAUUUGCUCUUCUCGUUUUAUCAUGUGUCCUGCAAUCUGAGCAAGAAACGUGAUGCACAUGCGGCAUUUGAGACGCCCAUCGGGUAUGCUUGGUUGCCAUUGUUGCAGAAGAAUCGCAUCUGUCUGGAGGAGAAGCUGUUGCCUGUGGCAGCGACCUUACCUGUGGGAUAUCUGUCCAUACAGCCUUUGGGCCUUGGCAAGGGGAAUUGCGGUCCGGAGAUUCAAUGGAUAGACAAUCAGCGACAGCUUUAUAACGUUGGUUUACGUCUGGAUUCUACGGUUUUGACUGCAGAUCAACAUUUGCACAAUUUCUUUGCCCAUUGCGAACGUUUGCUGGAAGGUGGAAAAUCUGGAGCUCUGCCGGCGGAGAUGGAAACUUGCAAGAUUCUGAAAGCAGCGCAUGCUAUUGACAUGAGAUCCUUGAUCAAUUUUCUGCCUACGCUACUUAAUGAACUCUUUACGUUAUUGGUGCACACACAAUCCGAGGAAAUUGGCUUAAAUGUCAUACGUUUGUUGACCAACAUUAUACAUCUGAUAAGCGAUGAGGCGAAUCGCACAGAGCUGCUUUCAGCGUAUGUGAAGUAUGUGUUCCAUGCUCCUUAUUACAGUCAACAGACGGCCAGGAUGCGGACUGUGCACGGAGAACUGUGUCGUCAUUUGCCAUAUCUCCUCAAUCCGAGCAAUACGGAUUUCCUAAUAGUCAACAAGUUCAUGAGAUACUCAUCGAUCUUCUUUGAUCUGAUUGUUAAGAGCAUGGCGCAACAUCUUUUAGCUACCGGACGCAUUCGAAUGUUGCGCAACGAAAGAUUUCCCAAGGAGUAUGCGGAUCGUGUGGAGCAGUUAAUAAAAAUCCUCGUGCCUUAUAUAACAACGCGUUACGAGGAUCUGGGCGAGGAGACACAGCAACUCAAUCGUUCUCUGGCCAGAUUUGUGCGUCAGUGUCUGAGUUAUAUGGAUCGUGGAUUUGUCUUCAAGUUGAUACGUUUCUACAUGGAACAUUUCGCACCGGGAAACGCACGUGUGCUUCACGAAUACAAGUUCAACUUUCUGCAGGAGAUUUGCCAGCAUGAGCAUUAUGUACCAUUGAAUCUGCCAUUUGUGCUGAAUCCUAAAAAUCGUCCGCCGGAAUUGCUGCAGCAUUUUACGCUCUCGGAGCAGUUUUGCCGACAGCAUUUCCUCUCGGGUUUGUUGCUGCAGGAGCUGAAGAGCAGCCUUAAUGAAGUGGGUCAUGUGCGUCGUCAUGCGCUGGCCAUUUUUAAGGAUCUGCUGGCUAAGCACGAGCUGGAUGCACGCUAUCAACAACGUGGUCAGCUGUCGAGGAUCGCUUUGCUCUAUGUUCCUUGGCUGGGCAUUGUCAUGGACAAUUUGCAGCGCAUAGAUGAUCUGUCGGAGUCGGGCGCCUGCACUCCCAAUGGUCAUGUCUAUGCCGACUCCGCCUCGUAUACGAAGCGUCUUAGUUGCUCUAGUAGCUAUGUGUUCAGCAAGGACUCCUCCAACUUUGGCUCCUUAACCUCCACGCCGCGUUCCAAGAAUCGCUUAACAUUGCACAUUGAUCAGCCGAGUCCUUGCCGCACCUCCAUGCACAUCAAGGAGCACAAUUAUCUGGCCGCCAUCGCCGGCUCAGCGAUAAGCAAUGGUGUGUCCAAUCUAUCGCUCAACUCCAACUCCGAUUCGGGCCACUCGCAGGACACGACGACAAUUGGCGCCUACACAAAUGGGGAGACCGAUGUUGCCCUACGCAAUGGACACAAUCGUUCGGUGAGCGUAACCCAUGCGCAGAUCCUCUCCAGAUGCGAUAAGUUCAGCGCUGGGGAGAGCAAGGAUCUGCUGUUGGGUUUCCUGUUCAUAGUGAAGCACCUGUCGCAGGAUCAAAUGGUUGGCUGGUGGCAGAACUGCAACGAGACGGAAACGUUUCAGUUUCUAUCCAUUUUGGACUUGUGUCUGCUGCAGUUUCGAUACGUGGGUAAGAAGAAUGUGAUCCUUGCCACAGAUGCUCGAGUGAUACGUCCAACGAAGGCGCAUACACUUCCCGCACGGACUGCACCGCCAGUGCUGGAGAAUGGCCACCAGGAGCCGUGCACAGGAACACUGACCCAGACUCGAGAGCAUUUUCUGGAGGAUAUGGACAUGUCAGCCAGGUCACAGCAGGCACUGUACGAAUCGAACCUUGCCACUGAAGUGGGCAUGAUUAUACUGGACUGUCUGGGACUCUAUGUGCUCCAGUUUCGACAGCUGCUGGCGGACAGUUUGGUGCUGCCCAAGCUAGCCCGUGUCUAUCUGCGAUUCCUUCAGCUGGGACAAUCGGAGCGUCUCUCCAAGCACGUCUUUGCGGCUCUACGGGCAUUUAUUAACAAUUAUUCCAUGGCCCUGUUCAAGGGGAAUGCCAUGCUCUGUGGACAGAUGGUCUAUGAGCUGCUCAAGGCCUGCGACAGUCGCCUGGUGGACAUACGCCAUGAAUCCUGUGCCGUGCUCUAUCUCCUGAUGCGCAGCAACUUUGAGUUCAGUGGACGCAAAGCCUUGACUCGAGUUCAUCUGCAGGUCAUCAUCUCUGUGUCUCAGAUGAUUGGCAAUGUGAUUGGUUUGAAUAAUGCACGCUUCCAGGAGAGUUUGUCCAUUAUCAAUAGUUAUGCCAAUAGUGAUAAGGCAAUGAAGGGCACAGGAUUCCCCUUGGAGGUCAAGGAUCUGACACGUCGUGUGCGCACUGUUCUCAUGGCCACGGCUCAGAUGCAGGCUCAUCACAUGGAUCCAGAGCGUCUUCUGGAGCUCCAAUAUUCGCUGGCCAAUUCAUAUGCAUCCACGCCGGAAUUGAGACACACCUGGCUCGUCACCAUGGCCCGGAAUCACGAACAGAAUGGCAAUCUCUCGGAGGCGGCCUGCUGUCAUCUCCAUAUUGCCGCUCUCAUGUGUGAAUAUCUGCGUUUGAAAGGUGGCUGCACUUUGAGCUGGUCCUCGACAGCCUUUGGCAAGAUCUCACGCAAUAUUCCGUUGGACGAACAAGGACUCAAGCUGGAUGCGGGUGCCCAGGACUCUCAGUACACGGAGCAAAUGCUGCUGGAACAGCUGAAACAAUGCGCCGACUUUCUCGAUCGUGCCGAACGCUUCGAGUGCCUCGGAGAACUCUACAAGCUCAUCCUGCCCAUCUAUGAGCGUGCUCGCAACUUCAUCGAGUUGGCCCAUUGCUAUGAGCAUCUCACCCAGGCCUACAACAAGAUUGUGGAGGUGAAUAGAUCUGGAAGGCGCAUGCUGGGUCGCUUUUAUCGUGUGGUCUUCUAUGGCAUGAUGUACUUCGAGGAGGAUCACGCCAUUGAGUAUGUGUACAAGGAGCCCAAGCUGACAUCCCUUAGUGAAAUCUCGGAACGCUUGGCCAAACAGUAUAAGGAGAAGUUUGGCGCCGAUGUUGUCAAACUUAUUAUGGAUUCAUCUCCGGUAAAAGUUGACGAAUUGGAUGCCAAACUGGCCUACAUACAGGUGACCCAUGUGAUACCCUUCUUCAGCAAAGACGAGCUUGAUCAACGUCUCAAUGAGUUCGAACAAAAUCACGAUGUGGACACAUUUAUGUAUGAAACACCCUUCACCAAGUCGGGCGCUGCACGUGGCAGCGUAGAGGAUCAGUGGAAACGCAAGACUGUCAUUAAAACCCAAUACUCAUUUCCCUAUGUGCUUAAGCGCAUACCCGUCAAGUCUCGCGAGAUAAUCGAACUGAGUCCCAUUGAGGUGGCCAUCGAUGAGAUGCAAUCAAAGGUUUCAGAGCUGGAGGAGAUCAUUCUCCCGCCGGCGGAUGUUAAGAAGUUGCAGCUACGUUUGCAGGGUAGCGUUGCAGUUACCGUAAACGCGGGUCCUUUGGCCUAUGCACAUGCCUUCCUGGAUGCCAAGGUGAUCAAUAACUUUUCACUCGACCGUGUCGAGGAUCUCAAGGAUGUCUUUCGCGAUUUUAUUGGCGUUUGUCACAAGGCGUUACGUGUGAACGAGCGCAUGAUUAGCGCGGAUCAGAAGGAGUAUCAUCAUGCGCUUCAGGAGAACUAUGAGAAACUGUGUCAGGCACUCAGUGAGUUACUCCAAGACGAAUCGUUCCAGCCGCUUGGCGAUGAUGCCGACACCGCAGCCCAGCGCAAUAGCAUGGCUUUAUUCAAUGCGAUCAGUGGGGCCUCACAUAACUCAAGUACUGCUUAAGUUCAGUUCAAAACAAAAACAAAAACCAAAAUUAUUUACAUACAUACGCACAGCUACUAAAAUGGUUAUUACAAUUACUCAAAUAACAAGCCAAGUAGAAGACUAAUUCAUGUAGCCUUUAUCAACAUGUUUGGUGUUCCUUUUGUAUGAUGUAUGAUCUUUGAUGUUUGAUGUUGUCGUUGUCGUACCCGUUGUCCGUUGCCGUUGUUCUUUCUCUGGCAGCAGGUUUUGGUUUUGCCGUAUAUUAAAGCCCAAAUGCAUACCGUCAAAUAUCAGUACCCCAAAUACACAUGCAUAUAAAAAUACACGCACACAACCAGAACCACGACAGUCAAUUCACCAGUUGACUAUGUUGCAGUACACUCGAAAAAAAGCCACAUGUACUUGUUAAUUUUAUAUAUUUUUGUAUAGCCCUAAACAUAAACGAAACGAAAUUUAAUUGUUGUUAGCUUAUAUAUAACUGUUUAUAUAGAUUGAUUGUACAUUUUAUUAUUUAUAUUAUUAUUUUAAUUAUUACGAUUCCAGUGUGCAUCAAACCCAAAAACUGAUGAAAAAGGAUUUUUAAUUAAUUAUCAUUAAAUAUAUGCUUAAAAUAAUAUACUUAAUGUGUAGUAAUCGCAAUGAGCUCCAUUAUAAGAUCAAAUCUGCUAACUUUGUGUCUUCUUCAAAACUCAAAUAGCUAAAAAUGAAAUUGUUUAAAAAUUUAGUUAUUAUAUGAUAAACUUAAAUGUAUUUACCUAAAACAAUUAAUUGUAAUUGUAGUUCUAAGUUCCAGAACAGGUGCAACAGAACUUACCAAA